rnacentral:rRNA from 1 species
CUGCAGCCCGAGUGGUGAUCGAUUUUAUUGAGCCUAAAGCGUCCGUAGCCGGACUAGUAAACCCUUGGGUAAAUUGGGCAGCUUAACUGUCCAAAUUCCGAGGGGACUGCUAGUCUUGGGACCGGGAGAGGUCAGAGGUACUCAAGGGGUAGGGGCUAAAUCCUGUAAUCCUUUGGGGACCACCAGUGGCGAAGGCGUCUGACAAGAACGGAUCCGACGGUAAGGGACGAAACCCUGGGGCGCGAACCGGAUUAGAUACCCGAGUAGUCC